UUUGCAAAGUACUUUUUAAUAGAUGAAAGCUUCAUCUUAAACACUUUGGCUUGGCUGGAAUAUGAGGAAUGCGUGACGGAGAAACAUGGAAAAAACAGCUGGGAAACAAAAGAGCUCAGAAAUUAAGAUUUUAUGUGAUUUCUGACAAGUUUUUGUCACUGAAGUGCUAAUCCUCAAAGCUGUUCUGGAUGGGUGGUCGGAGCUCCUGGCCCUGCAGAGGCUCUUGAAGCAGGGUUGUUUGGACAUAGGAGUUUCUUACAAGUACCUGGAUGUGCACUCAUUGAGGUUUCAUUGAGGACAGUGGAUUCUGAGACUGUUCGUUAUCUACCCCAGUCAUAAAACUGCUUGUUUCAAAGUUUGUUCUUGCUUUGAAAUAGCAAGGGAGCAAAAUGCAGAUGCUUCAGAGCAAAAGUAUGAAUAAAACCUUAUGCCUAUAGAAAUUGGGAGAUGCAAAACCACAACUAAGUCAAAUAUAUAUAUUAAAGGAGAAAAGCCCUUAGCACGGUAAACAGAAGACAUCAUGUAUAUGAGAUCUGAUUUAUGGUGGAAACCUCAACUUUUGGCCACAUUCUUAGGUCAGUUUUUUAAGUGAAACCUGCAUUGCUGAGUCAGGUCAGUUCUAUACUAACAUCAUUCCCCUUUUGCUUCAAGUUCAGGUACUUGAUGGGUCGACGUUGAUUCUACUUGUGGCUGUAUUUGUGUAAGUUUAGUGCCUUUAUCCAGGUCCGAGAUGCUUUAGUUCUGCCGAGUCCUUCUCCAUGUAUUGGGGAUAACGUGUCAAGGUACAAGUUACCUUUGUGGAGCAAGCCCGCGGGGUGGCUCAGUAUUAAUGCUCAGCCCUGUGCUGGACGCUCAGCACCUCGCAGUACCUGUCCUUUGCCCUGCAGCAGCAGUGACCCGCAGCCUUCCCCUCCUUCCUCCAGCAUCACCCCGGCCCCAUCGCCUCCCGAUGCGGUACCCGGGGGUGCCCCUGCCCCGCAGAGCCGCGGAACCUGCCCCUCGGAGGCUGGAUCUCUGCUCAUUAGCUGCUGUUUGCUGAAACCGGAUACCUGGGGCACCCCCGCCAGGGAGCCAAGUCCCUGCCUGCAGCUAUUUAAAAGGACAAGGGCAGCCUUAGAAUUCCCACCUCUUUCACAUCCAUGUCCCUCCCAGCGCCCGGCCGCAGCGUCUCUUCACUCCUGGAUCCCUGCAGUAUCCAUGACCCACGAGUGGAGCGACGGCCCGAGGGGUACCUGCCCGAGCCAGCCCUGGGGAAGGAUUAUCUGUUGAAUUUGGGGGGACCUCAGCCUUGCCAGAAAGCGGGGGGGCCGUGAACCCCAGCACAGGAGACACCCUGGGACAGGAGGGAGAAAGGGGUUUGAGUGGUCGUUUUGGCUUUUUGCCUCCUUUUUGUCCUUUUUAAUUAUUAUUAUUUUAAGAAAUAGAAAUUGUUGUAAGCUGCUGGGACAAAUGAAUGCCAAUGAACAUGGGGCUGCGAGGGGAUGCUGCCCAGCCUCUCGCCUCGCUGCAAAGUAAGUGCCCAAGGCAGGGAUGCUGUGCAAGGGGAAAGGGAACAGGGCCAAGGGG
rnacentral:lncRNA from 1 species